rnacentral:rRNA from 1 species
UACGGAGGGUGCAAGCGUUAUCCGGAUUUACUGGGUUUAAAGGGUGUGUAGGCGGGCUUUUAAGUCAGUGGUGAAAUCUCCGGGCUCAACCCGGAAACUGCCAUUGAUACUAUUAGUCUUGAAUUUUGUUGAGGUAGGCGGAAUAAGUCAUGUAGCGGUGAAAUGCUUAGAUAUGACUUAGAACACCUAUUGCGAAGGCAGCUCGCUGGGACGUAACUGACGCUGAGACGCGAAAGCGUGGGGAGCAAACAGG